UGGCUCAGAACGAACGCUGGCGGCAGGCCUAACACAUGCAAGUCGAACGCUCCGCAAGGGGAGUGGCAGACGGGUGAGUAACACGUGGGAACCUUCCCAUCGCUACGGAAUAACUCAGGGAAACUUGGGGUAAUACCGUAUACGCCCGAAAGGGGAAAGAUUUAUCGGCGAUGGAUGGGCCCGCGGCUGAUUAGCUAGUUGGUGAGGUAACGGCUCACCAAGGCGACGAUCAGUAGCUGGUCUGAGAGGACGACCAGCCACACUGGGACUGAGACACGGCCCAGACUCCUACGGGAGGCAGCAGUGGGAAUAUUGGACAAUGGGCGCAAGCCUGAUCCAGCCAUGCCGCGUGAGUGACGAAGGUCUUCGGAUUGUAAAGCUCUUUUGGCGGGGACGAUAAUGACGGUACCCGCAGAAUAAGCCCCGGCUAACUUCGUG
rnacentral:rRNA from 1 species